rnacentral:sRNA from 1 species
CUCAUACCCGCCAUAUACAUCAGCCCAUCGCUGACCAUACCACAUUCACCUUUAUCAUUGACCUGACCUCGUUUCAGCAGACGCUGGCACUAUGCAGCUUCUCUACUUCCGCUGGACUUCUCCACUCUGUGCUGAUGCCUUAACAGGUACUGUCGACUCCUGCCAAUUUCUAGACUGUUCAAGAUGUCCCCGCUGCUGGAAUUCCAAUUUCCUAAAGAAAUAUCUCACAACACCAACAGUACCGAUCAGCAGCAUGUUUUUUUGGACGCUGAUGCCUGGGAAGGAGAUGCUUAUGGGAGGACGACCAUAAACUCAAUAUGAUGAUACAUCGGACCCUGAAAGGAUAUCAGUCUCAGCAAAUUCCCUCAAUGACCGCCACACACAGUACGAUCUCCAUCGACCAAACCAAUUAUGAAGAAAGCCAUCAAGAAAGACUUUCUAUCGUUCACAUAUCACCUAGUUUGCCAACAUUCUCACCCCUCAAAACGAAAAGAUCGCAGCAUACACCAUCCUGCAAGUCAACUUUCACCGCAGAGUGGUCGAUGACUUUGUCGUAGUUGACAACACUAAUCGAAGAAGAAGUGAAGAUGGACCAGGAUUGGCUGUCAAGCUUAAUCGUUGGUUCUUAGCCAAUAGCUAUUAUAGUUUAUAUAUACACCAUUGCCUCGUGUCAUGAAGGACUACCUCUUAUCACAAGUGAUGACAGGACUCGUUUUCUGAUUUUCUAUCAUUACAGAGGACGGCUGACUUUCCAUUGUGCAUUUGCCCUUUGGCCCAUCGGUUCCUUACAGCACCGAUGCUAUAGCAGACAUGCACAUGUCAAUGUCUUGCCUCUUCCCAUGGUUCCAUUCGUCCUCUGUUCCAUUCGUCCUCUUCCUCGUCAUCUUUUGUCAUUUCUCAAUCGUCCAUGACCUAUCAUGUCCCACAGCGAAUACCUGGCCCACCAUGAAGACACAAGUAUCCCAAACUACUGGAUAAAUGAAUCUACAAAAAGCUUUAGUGACGGCUGGGGCUACCAAGUCGAGUCGAUCGAGAACUUCUCCAGGGACUCUAUACGCGCAAGGAGGCUGACCAAACUCAUUGGCUGGGCCAAGAUUCUGAGCUGAGCACAGAAGAGUGGAAGGA